CCCUUAGAUGUUCUGGGCUGCACGCGUGCUACAAUGGCGUUUCCAGCAAGUCUGCGAACCCGAGAGGGCCAGCGGAUCUUCGAAUUGGCGUCGUGAUCGGGACAGUCGAUUGCAAUUAUUUGACUCAAACGAGGAAUUCCUUGUAAUCGCGAUUCAUCAUAUCGCGCUGAAUACGUCCCUGCCCUUUGUACACACCGCCCGUCGCUCCUACCGAUUGAGCGAUCCGGUAAAUGUUUUGGAUUGGUGCCGGGGCGGCUAGCUGCCGGUCGCUACGAAAUUUUGUGAACCUUAUCGCUUAGAGGAAGGAAAAGGCGUAACA
rnacentral:rRNA from 1 species